CAACUCCCAAACCCCUGUGAACAUACCAAUUGUUGCCUCGGCGGAUCAGCCCGCUCCCGGUAAAACGGGACGGCCCGCCAGAGGACCCCUAAACUCUGUUUCUAUAUGUAACUUCUGAGUAAAACCAUAAAUAAAUCA
rnacentral:misc_RNA from 1 species